rnacentral:rRNA from 1 species
AGUGAACGCUGGCGGCAGGCCUAAUACAUGCAAGUCGAACGGCAGCACAGCAGAGCUUGCUCUGUGGGUGGCGAGUGGCGGACGGGUGAGGAAUACAUGGGAAUCUGCCCAGUCGUAGGGGAUAACGUAUGGAAACGUACGCUAAUACCGCAUGCGCCCUAAGGGGGAAAGCCGGGGACCGCAAGGCCUGGCGCGAUUGGAUGAGCCCAUGUUCGAUUAGCUAGUUGGCGGGGUAAAGGCCCACCAAGGCGACGAUCGAUAGCUGGUCUGAGAGGAUGAUCAGCCACACUGGAACUGAGACACGGUCCAGACUCCUACGGGAGGCAGCAGUAGGGAAUAUUGGACAAUGGGGGCAACCCUGAUCCAGCCAUGCCGCGUGAGUGAAGAAGGCCCUCGGGUUGUAAAGCUCUUUUGUCCGGAAAGAAAAGCAAUCGGUUAAUACCCGGUUGUUCUGACGGUACCGGAAGAAUAAGCACCGGCUAACUUCGUGCC